rnacentral:rRNA from 1 species
UACAGAGGGUGCGAGCGUUAUCCGGAAUCAUUGGGCGUAAAGCGUCCGCAGGUGGUUCGUCAAGUCUGCUGUUAAAGACAGAAGCUCAACUUCUGAGAAGCAGUGGAAACUGGGGAACUAGAGUACGGUAGGGGUUGAGGGAAUUCCCAGUGUAGCGGUGAAAUGCGUAGAUAUUGGGAAGAACACCAGUGGCGAAGGCGCUCAACUGGGCCGUAACUGACACUCAGGGACGAAAGCUAGGGUAGCGAAAGGG